CCUACGGGAGGCAGCAGUGGGGAAUAUUGGACAAUGGGCGAAAGCCUGAUCCAGCCAUGCCGCGUGUGUGAAGAAGGCCUUCGGGUUGUAAAGCACUUUCAGUGGGGAAGAAAGCCUUGGGGCUAAUACCCUCGAGGAAGGACAUCACCCACAGAAGAAGCACCGGCUAACUCCGUGCCAGCAGCCGCGGUAAUACGGAGGGUGCGAGCGUUAAUCGGAAUUACUGGGCGUAAAGCGCGCGUAGGCGGUCUGAUAAGCCGGUUGUGAAAGCCCCGGGCUCAACCUGGGAACGGCAUCCGGAACUGUCAGGCUAGAGUGCAGGAGAGGAAGGUAGAAUUCCCGGUGUAGCGGUGAAAUGCGUAGAGAUCGGGAGGAAUACCAGUGGCGAAGGCGGCCUUCUGGACUGACACUGACGCUGAGGUACGAAAGCGUGGGUAGCAAACAGGAUUAGAUACCCCUGUAGUC
rnacentral:rRNA from 1 species